AGUGCAUUCAUAACCGAGAAUUGCGGCGAUCCGGAUCAAUUUACAUCCUGCAGGAGAGCACCCUGAUCACCAGCUAUGUACGACUGUACGGGUCGUACGUAACGACCUUUCGAUUAGCAAACCCAAGGACUGGCAAUAAGACUACCCGAACCCAGGGACGCACCCCCACAUGGGACCCCACGUCUGGCCUGAUCUCCAUGUGAGUUUCAGUCUACGCCCCUGCCAAUCUCCAGCACAUCAAGCACGGGUACGAAAUAUUCCCGAUCAGCGAGUCUACUAACCUACCGGGCUUUACUGGUCCCAUACCCAGUAAGAAACCAGGUGACAAUCACUUGAUCAAAGGUUAAGACA
rnacentral:lncRNA from 1 species